rnacentral:lncRNA from 1 species
UAUCGAUACAGAGGUAUAUAUUUCGAUAUACUACUCUAAUUUUCGAAUAAAUUAUUUCUACAUAUUUCAUUCGAUGAUACGAAGAUAUAAACACUCCCGGCCCAUCGAUUGAAUGGUUAGAUUAAAUUUUUAUCCCUAGAUUCUUUUUUCGGACUCAAGCCUAGAUAUGUGAAGCUUCUAAAUAUAGAUAUUUAAAAUAAGUAAAAAAAUUAUUAAUAGACUUACCUGCUCUGAG